CAUGACAUGCCUGUUUGGCGGCGAUGGUGGUGCCUGUUGCUCCUGGAGAACAAUUCUUUGAACAGGUAGACAGUUUAAGUAAACUAGAUGUCCUAAUUAACUGGAAGACAAUCAAUAUAUUGUACUUAAAGACAUAUUGUCAUUACAGUUGUGGGAAAAUCUUCGCCCACUGGACCAAAGAAUGUCAAGAGCUCAUUGCUGGAAAGCAUACUCCGGUCUUCAGUCUAAAGAGGAAGGCAGAGCAGCAGGACAUAGAGGUUAGAAAAUUGCCUUGUAAAAACAGUAUUAUCUCAGUGGGAGUCCUUCAAAAUGCACAUAGUUGUAUGGAUCAACAUUGUCUCGAUGUAUUUGGUAAUUGAUGUUACUUUUCAAAUUGACUUGUUAAGGAAACCAUGACGCAGACGGCAUCGGAUGUCCGAAGAAUGUGCAUGGCAGAGUCGAUGCAAUUCUGUGUCUACCAGACAUCGAACAACACAGGAGAGAGGUGUGUUGCAGACUCAAUUUAAUAAAUGCAAUUAUCGGGGCCUAUUCAGUGAUUUUCCAUGAAGUGACCACUUUUACAUAUAGUUUAAAUGCACGAAUCAUGCAGGAAAAUUAUUUAUACAUUCAAAUGUGCUGCAGAGGUAUAAUCAAUUGGACAGCGUGUUUGUUUAAUAUUAUGUUUGUCUCUCAUUUGAUAAGAUUGCUUUACCCUGAGGUAAAAUUGAUCAAAUGGGUCCAGUGCAAGACGUGCAGGGGCUGGCUGCAUCAGGAUUGUGCUGGGAUUGAAAUGGAGCCGUUUGACUGCGGGUGCGAGGACUCCAUUGAGCAUCCUCGGUAUAACAUAAUUUAUCAAGGAAACAUAGUAUCAGUCAAAAAUACGAGGCUCAAAGGAUGAAAAAAUGAGGGCUUGCUCUUUUCUUAUUUCUCUGCAGGAUCAAGGAUGCUGUCGACAGUGGAAGAAUUCAUGCUGUCUUUUCUAAGACACAGAUCAAGGUUGCUUUUGAAUGCACUAUCAGUUGUUAAAGCCACCGUUUCUUUUUCAGAUGAUUACAUUUUUGUCUCUUGCUCUUUGGUUUCAGACAUUACAUGAUGAUCUCCUGUCCGGAAAGCUCCGCUCAAACCGAAUGUUCCUUUGGAGGAAUCCCGCCACCUCACUCCGACUCAAGCAGCACCUCAAGAUAAAGACAUUAAGUUGGAGUGAGCAGCGCGUAAGUAAAAAUGCCAUCCAUCAUGAGUAUUUUUACUCUCAGGGGUGUUACAUUUGAA